rnacentral:lncRNA from 1 species
CAAUGAGUGUUUUUUCAAAUGUUUCAAAAUUCCUGAUAUGACAUGCUUAUGUUUUACAUAAGCAAGUUUUCGUGUUUGUAUCCAAGGCUGAAAGACCUGGCAUUAAAAGUAGAGACAAUUCAGCAGUAUUUAUCUAUUUACCAUCCAGGCACAUAGGAAGAUUAGUCUUUUCACCCCUUCACUUCGUCCUUUAGUUUAUGCGAAGAGGAUGAAAGGAAAUCAUUUUGUUCGCUGAUCCCAGUUCAACUUGAACUCUAGAAGUGACAUGGGGAGGUAAUUUAUCAAACUCUGGCAGGACAAAAACUACUUGAAACACUGUGAAGGUUGAUUCAUUUUUGCAAGAUGUGCUCAAUCUUAGAUGUAUUCUCCGCAAUUAAUGUGAGUUGUGUACAAAAGCAGGAUUUAUCUAUUUACCAACCAGGCACAUAGGAAGAUUAGUCUUUUCACCCCUUCACUUCGUCCUUUAGUUUAUGCGAAGAGGAUGAAAGGAAAUCAUUAUGCGAAGAGGAUGAAAGGAAAUCAUUUUGUUCGCUGAUCCCAGUUCAACUUGAACUCUAGAAGUGACAUGGGGAGGUAAUUUAUCAAACUCUGGCAGGACAAAAACUACUUGAAACACUGUGAAGGUUGAUUCAUUUUUGCAAGAUGUGCUCAAUCUUAGAUGUAUUCUCCGCAAUUAAUGUGAGUUGUGUACAAAAAAGAAAAAAUCAUCAAGUUGGAUGAAGAUAAAAAGAUGAAAACUAGACAAUUACCUGAUAAAGACAAUAAGUG